AGAAUAUGCAACAGAGACAUAUGUGGUCUGCAUAGCCUAAAAUAUUUACCUUUUACUGAAUCAGCUUACCAGCCCCUGGUAAAUGGAGAUGCUAGAGAUGACAAAACGUUUACGAGCAAAGGGAGAGAUGCAAACGAAUCCCUGUAAACAUUCGGCUUCGGUUGAAAACGACGCUAGUGGAGCAGGCACAUGGCUCCCCUCUGACCCAGUGGUGCCCUGCCUGCUUAUUAUGGGAUGUGGUUUCUUAGGGUGAUGAGGCGGAGGUUUCCUAGAUGAAAGGAAUGGGGACUGUAUAACGCGGAGGGAUGCAAUGCAAGUUUCGUGUCAUCUUGGCUGGACCCUUUCAAGGUCUGUCUGACAAAGGGAUAGAAGAAAUGGUCUUGAAAUGCACAUGUAAAAGUGUCCCACCUACACUUGGAUGACAGCCCAGCUCCACUGGUCACCCUCUGCAUGGCCUGGACUGGGACUAUGGCUGUGUGGGCCGGAAGAGCUGGAUUCUCGCUCCGCCUUAUCCCUUAUUUGCUGUGUGCACCUGUUCUACCUGAGCCUCAACUUUCUCAUUUGCAAACUGGAGAACCACCAGCCUUGACUCUUGGAGUGUAACCUUGGACGUUAAGUGAAGUGCUGUCUGUGAAGGAGUUUGUCAGAGCAAAGGAGAAAGCUCCACGGGCCUUUGCAAACAGCUGCUUCCCCAAGGCAAAGGAGGAAAAUGCUAAGGCGGAUUCUUUACCAUCUGAGCCACCGGAAGACGUGUCCAAAUUAAGUUCACAUCUCAAGGAAAGCCCAACUGGGCACAGAAGUCUCCAGCUUUUCUGUAAGGUGAAGGCUUGACAGAAAUAGUAAAACAAGAGGCGAGAGCUAUAAAAGGACUUUCAUGAAGUUCUGUGCGAGAGCAGAGUGGGUGCUGGGGGUCCCUGAGACUGAUGCUUCCGGAAGACCCACUGAGCCUGGCACUUGAGGCUUUGUAGCAGCCUGCACUCUUCCAACAAGCCUAGAAGUGUUUUAAGAACAAAAGAUGUGAUGUGGAAGCAACAUGAAUUAACUCUGCCUGGGGCAUCCUCUGAAAUGACCAUGUGACACGGGUGUUCAGCCUUGAAGGAUAGGCAGCACAUUUCUGUUUCAACUACAGGAAAAACAAGAACGAUCUGGGACAGAGAAGGGCUGGUAUCCCAGCUCAUUUGGGCUCAUGGGGCUGGAUAACCAGGUGCCUGCGGUGGGCAGCGGAAUAAAGAUG
ensembl:lncRNA